AUCGAAGAAAUUAAUAAUUCCCUAGUUUUAAGUUCCCUUCACAACCUUCACUUCUUCGCCGAAGGCCAUAACCCGUAUUCCAAUCAGUUCUCCCUUUUGACCGGCGGCCAUAUCCAAAUACUUCUCAGAGGCGACUACAGAUUUUAUGGACAUAGUCUUAUAUGUGAUCCAUGGUUAACCUUCAGGCAACCAGAUUCAAAAGAAAUGGUGAAUCAUGUGAUUUUGCAAGAGCUAAAGGUCAAAGAAGGUCUCUACAUCAUUUAUGUCUGCUCUAGGUGUUAUACGGCACCUGAUUUUAUUUUUGAAGCAACAAAGUAUAUUAAUGAUAUUGAUAUUUAGUCUUUUAGGUGUGUGCUUGCUGAGCUACAUUUUGGACAGGUACUUGUUGAAUUCCUUGUGAGAGUGGAGUAUACCAGCUUAUUGGCUUUUUUCUUUCAUCCCCUGUCUCCCUCCAUAUUCACAUGACAACAUUGUAAACUUCAAGAAAAAUGUGAAUGCUGAAUUUAUCAAGGUGUUGUGCUUCUAUCUCUUUUGAGAAAGGAAACCGCAAAGAAGAAAAGGCGUACAAGUAUUGAUCCGAUUGUGUUGCUUGGCUACUUCAGAUGAUCAACAUUAACGUAGAUGCUAUCCAGGAUAGUGAUGGGAGCUACAUCUAACUUUUCUGAGUUUGUAGUGUUAGAGCACUAGAAUGAGUAGUUACACAUGAUAUUCGAUCUCAUUGGUUUACCGUGGGAGAUCCCUUGUAGUAUCUGUUGACUUUCUUGUACAAACAGUUAGUAUUUAUAUGAAUGAAUAUUGAUGAUGCUGUUGGGU